CCACAGGUUCUCAGCACGAUGCCUUACUGCGCGAGCCCAAACUUGUGUGCCUCAGCUUCCUUGUCGGCUUCGAGGGGAUAAAGAUGCCUGUCCUGGGCUGGCCUGGGGUUGGGUGGUGCCCCUGCAUCCCCAAGUGGAUGGUGAGCCAGAGGGCAGGAGCCACAGCUUCCUCGGUGCUGCGUGCAGAAGGGGAAGAAGGGCAGCCGGUGGGAACCGGGACCCAGGCGGAGAGGAAGGCCAGGUGUCUCCACUUAUCAUAAGAGUCUCCAGCGUACAGUUCUCGGUACAGUUCUCCAGAGCUUCCCUCAGACCUUGCUGGGGACAAGUGUCCUGGCACCCAUCUGUGAGCUCAGCCAACACGGAUUCUGCCACACCGCUCAGAGCCCAGCUCCACGUCCUCCUUGGAGGCACACCCUGAGGUACCCCCCCAGCCAAACCCAGCAGGAGCUGGGCUUCUGGUGCUUCCUAUGACCUUCCUCCUCCUCCUUGGCUCCUCACUCCCUUGUAAUUGACUUAAAAUUGUGCAAUUAAAAGUCUGGUUCAUGACAGCAGACAGGUGAACGAAACAGACAAGGUGACAGCUUCAGGAGCUCACAGACUGGGGUAAGGUGAACCUAGGACAAGUGAACGACGAUGGUACAACCUGGUGAGAGCUCGGAGGGGAAACAGCCUGCUAGGUGAGCACAGAGCAGGAGCACACGUCCUAAUGUGGAGGAGUCAGGGAAGGCUUCCUGGAGGAGGUGGCCUCCUAGAGGUCAAGUUCCUCAGGUUAGGCAGAGGGAGGGAACAUUCCCAGCAGAGGUGACCAUGGUACCAACCAGCCUGGGUGGGAAUCCCAGGCCCUGAGCCCACCCACAGGCUGUGACUUCUUUGGGCCUUAGUUUCCCUGUCUUUAAGACUGAGAAGGAACUCGGG
ensembl:lncRNA